rnacentral:tRNA from 1 species
GCGGCGAUAGCUCAGUGGGUAAAGCGCCUGGUGAGAAGAUGGCGAUUACUCCGAGAGCUAUUAUCCGCACGGGUUCAAAUCCCGCCUGUGGCA